UACGUAGGUGGCAAGCGUUGUCCGGAUUUACUGGGCGUAAAGAGCGCGCAGGCGGUCGUUCAAGUCGCGUGUGAAAGCCCCCGGCUCAACUGGGGAGGGUCACGCGAUACUGAUCGACUCGAAGGCAGGAGAGGGUAGUGGAAUCCCCGGUGUAGUGGUGAAAUGCGUAGAUAUCGAGAGGAACACCUGCGGCGAAGGCGGGUUGCUGGGCUGACACUGACGCUGAUGUGCGAAAGCUAGGGGAGCGAACGGG
rnacentral:rRNA from 1 species